rnacentral:rRNA from 1 species
GAUCAUGGCUCAGGAUGAACGCUAGCGACAGGCUUAACACAUGCAAGUCGAGGGGCAGCACAGGUAGCAAUACCGGGUGGCGACCGGCGCACGGGUGAGUAACGCGUAUGCAACUUGCCUAUCAGAGGGGGAUAACCCGGCGAAAGUCGGACUAAUACCGCAUGAAGCAGGGAUCCCGCAUGGGAAAUAUUUGCUAAAGAUUCAUCGCUGAUAGAUAGGCAUGCG